rnacentral:misc_RNA from 1 species
UCCGGUUUGUCACCGGCAGUCUGGCGCGAGUCCCCAACUUAAUGAUGGCAACACGCCACGGGGGUUGCGCUCGUUGCGGGACUUAACCCAACAUCUCACGACACGAGCUGACGCCAGCCAUGCAGCAUCUGUGGUGCACCCUCGAAGGUCACACGUUUCCGUGCGCUUGCAGCACCAUGUCAAGUCCAGGUAAGGUUCUUCGCGUUGCAUCGAAUUAAAGAACAUGCUCCGCUGCUCGUGCGGGCCCCCGUCAAUUCUUUUGAGUUUUAGUCUUGCGACCGUACUCCCCAGGCGGAGUGCUUAAUGCGUUAGCUGCGGCACCGGGGGGGUCGAUACCCCCAACACCUAGCACCCAUCGUUUACAGCGUGGACUAC